rnacentral:rRNA from 1 species
GACGAACGCUGGCGGCGUGCCUAAUACAUGCAAGUAGAACGCUGAAGGAGGAGCUUGCUUCUCUGGAUGAGUUGCGAACGGGUGAGUAACGCGUAGGUAACCUGCCUGGUAGCGGGGGAUAACUAUUGGAAACGAUAGCUAAUACCGCAUAAUAGUAGAUGUCGCAUGACAUUUGCUUAAAAGGUGCAAUUGCAUCACUACCAGAUGGACCUGCGUUGUAUUAGCUAGUUGGUGAGGUAACGGCUCACCAAGGCAACGAUACAUAGCCGACCUGAGAGGGGGGUCGGCCGCACUGGGACUGAGACACGGCCCAGACUCCUACGGGAGGCGGCAGUAGGGAAUCUUCGGCAAUGGACGGAAGUCUGACCGAGAAACGCCGCGUGAGUGAAGAAGGUUUUCGGAUCGGAAAGCUCUGUUGUAAGAGAAGAACGAGUGUGAGAGUGGAAAGUUCACACUGUGACGGUAUCUUACCAGAAAGGGACGGCUAACUACGUG